CAAAAUUGCAAACUGCUUGUACACUAAAAUCCCUUAAUCAAAUACCAACAAAAGAAAAUAACUGUGAGCAAGCAAGAUUAUCUGCACCAGCAGCCUCUGUAUCAAGCAAGGAGGAUUUGGAGACAGCAGCAGCAAACCUUGUACACAAAGAUCUUGUGAGUCUAAAAUUUCUAAGCUGUUUUUUGGUUUGGGUUUUUGGGGUUUUUGUUUUGGUUUGUUUGGGGUUUUUUUUCCUGAAAAUAUUGUUGAGGGUCUGCAGCUAGCCUUUUAGACCCUCAGUUAGGACAGUGAAAGAGGACCGUCUAUGUGUGUGCAGAUCGUUACUGAAUUUAUACAACUUGAAUUCAUCUAACUGAAUUUAUACAAUUUGAAUUCAUCACAUGUAAGCAUGGAGAUGCCGCUGAACUGGAUAACGUAGUAAUUAAACAAGGUACCACACUUAUACCUGGACAGGAGCAGCAAACAAAAGUGUUUGUGGCUUUCAGAGCAAGACCCAUCUCUUUGACGCAGUUCUUCAUUUAGAAUUAUGAUAGCUAGACAUGGAAUCAGAGAGCGGCAUGAAAUGGAUGUACAAAACAUUAAAUAUACUUCUGCCUAAGCCAGAAGCAACUUCCUCUAUAGAAAGUCCAAGUUGAUAGCUGCAAAGGAAAAAAAUAUUUGUGGCUUGAAAGGACAACUGUUGAGCACAUUCAGUAUCAGAAAGUUUGGGAGAUACUUGGAGAGCCAGAAGUGGGCAGCUUCAUUGCCUCAGACUCAAGAGGAAAGAACAAAGAAAAGACUAGCCCCCAAAAACAAGGGAAGUGGUUUGGCAGUCCAAAAUCAUCAGGCCACAUUCUGCAUGCCUAGAAACGUGAGAGAAAAGGCAAACUGUAAAAAUGAGAAAAAAGGAAGAAGAGGAAUUCUGACCACUUGGAAGUAUCUAAUGAUAAGUAAUGUCUCAGCACGGAAACUGCUCAAAGGAACACAGAGCUUAAAUGAGAUGUAUUUGCAGAUAACCGCUAUGCUGAACCCACAAGACAGCUAAGCUAUCCAAAAGAGGUAUCGAAAGGCAACGAAUCUUUCUUGAAGAUUCUCUGCAUGGCAAGGAAAGAGAAUUUUUCAAGGAACAAGAGCACCAAACUGUUUCACAAGAAACAAAAUAUGAACUGCAUGUGCAAGAUGGGAUAGAUUGGUUAAGUCUGAAGGACAGAUUCCACUACAAUGGAGCUACCUCAAGACAAGUUCGGGGGGUUUUUAAGAUGACUUGCCCCUGCUCUGAAAACUGGAUCCCCGUAAUGACACCUCAAGCACAGCAGCCAUAACUACACAUGGAAAAACAACAGUACAAGUAGCUCAGUGAACACGAGAACUAAUGAGACUUUGCUGUCUAGCUCCCUGUACUAGAUAGACAGAUACUGCAGUGACAGUCAGUCAACCAAGUUAUACUUUCUGACAAUGCCUUUGCUGUGGCUAACUUACCGGCUCAUCAAAAAUCCACUGUUACCUCCAAGGUAAAUUCAUGCAGUACAUGUUCUGGAAACCAGACUUUCAAGCUUUGCUGUCUUCUCUUGGGUGUCAUGAAGAGCAAGCAUGAGAUUCCACAGGAAGGGAAA